GGCAGCAGCCGCGGGAACACCGGCGGCCCGAGUGGUGAUCGUGAUUAUUGGGUCUAAAGGGUCCGUAGCCGGUUUGGUCAGUCCUCCGGGAAAUCUGAUAGCUCAACUAUUAGGCUUUCGGGGGAUACUGCCAGACUUGGAACCGGGAGAGGUAAGAGGUACUACAGGGGUAGGAGUGAAAUCUUGUAAUCCCUGUGGGACCACCUGUGGCGAAGGCGUCUUACCAGAACGGGUUCGACGGUGAGGGACGAAAGCUGGGGGCACGAACCGGAUUAGAUACCCGGGUAGUCCCAGCCGUAAACGAUGCUCGCUAGGUGUCAGGCAUGGCGCGACCGUGUCUGGUGCCGCAGGGAAGCCGUGAAGCGAGCCACCUGGGAAGUACGGCCGCAAGGCUGAAACUUAAAGGAAUUGGCGGGGGAGCACAACAACGGGUGGAGCCCUGCGGUUUAAUUGGACUCAACGCCGGACAACUCACCGGGGGCGACAGCAAUAUGUAGGCCAAGCUGAAGACUUUGCCUGAAUCGCUGAGAGGAGGUGCAUGG
rnacentral:rRNA from 1 species